rnacentral:tRNA from 1 species
GCCCCCGUAGCUCAGGGGAUAGAGCGUUGCCCUCCGAAGGCAUGCGCACAGGUUCGAAUCCUGUCGGGGGCAC